UGAUUUAGAUGGCCAAGCUCCUUCCCUCUAAACACACACUCACACACACACAGAGACAGACAGAGGCACAGAAGGAGAAUGCUGCUGUGGCCGUGCUAAAGACUCUUCCCGUGUGAGACAGAGAGAGACCUCCCCUUCCGCCGGUCCAGGAACACGCUGCCACAACAUGGAGCCACUAACAGAGGAACAGUUCAUGGAUGAGGGCCUUACCAUGAAGAACACAGGCCCUCCCCUGGAGCCCGGCGCAGACGUCUACAUGCGCUUCAUGCUGAGCCACUGUUGCUAUGACGCCAUCCCCACCAGCUCCAAGCUGGUCAUCUUCGACACAACGCUUCAGGUGAAGAAGGCCUUUUUCGCUCUGGUCGCCAAUGGCGUGAGAGCUGCUCCACUUUGGGACAGCAAGUUACAGAGCUUUGUAGGUAUGCUGACCAUCACGGACUUCAUAAACAUUCUCCACCGUUACUACAAGUCUCCCAUGGUACAGAUCUAUGAACUGGAGGAACACAAGAUUGAGACAUGGAGAGAGGUGUUUCUGCAGUGCUCCAAUUCCCUCAUCAGCAUCACACCUGAGGCCAGCCUGUUCGAAGCCAUCUACUCUCUGCUGAAAAAUAAGAUCCACCGACUGCCCGUCAUCGACCCCGAGUCAGGAAACGUCCUGCACAUCCUCACGCACAAACGCAUCCUCAAGUUCUUGCACAUUUUCGGUUCCAUGAUCCCAAAGCCACAGUACCUGCAGAAGCGCAUCGAGGAGGUAGAGAUAGGAACCUUCACACAGAUCGCCACCAUCCAGGAGACGGCCACCGUGCACGACGCACUGUCCAUCUUCGUCGAGCGGCGCGUAUCUGCUUUGCCUGUCGUCAAUGAGCAAGGGAAGGUGGUUGCUCUGUACUCCAGAUUUGAUGUGAUUAAUCUAGCGGCUCAGAAGACCUACAACAACUUGAACAUGACGAUGCGAGACGCCAUCACUAGCCGUUCGUGCUGCAUGGAGGGCGUGCUCAAGUGCUACCCCUACGAGACGCUGGAGACCAUCAUCGACCGCAUCGCCAAGGCUGAGGUGCAUCGGCUGGUGCUGGUGGACCGGGAGGACAUAGUGAGGGGCAUCGUCUCUUUGUCGGACCUGCUGCAGGCGCUGGUCCUGACCCCGGCAGGUAUUGAUGCUCUGUUCUGUUAGCCCCUCCUCCCUGGGGGCUCCCUCACCCUCCCCACCUCCACCUCCUGAACCACCACCACCACCGCCUCCUCCUCCUCCUCUUAUUCCUCCUCCUCAUCUUCACUGACCCUCCCCACACCCAGAGAGACUGCUUGGCCCUCUCUGCUGCUGCUGUGUUCUCCCUCCUCGUCUGCUGCCCCCUAGUGGUCAACCCUCCAGCUGCCAUCUCGUGCUUUCAGGCUCCCCCCCCCCGUUCCCCCACACAUACACAUGGCUGAUGGAGGUCUUAAGCAGCCAUGGUGUCUUGGAAGCCAUCUUGCUUGAGAAUGCAGAGAUUACAGAGAGAGCAAGCAGUGAGGCCUAAAAGGGCGUCCUGGCUACUGGAUGAAGAUGGUGUACACGUCUCCAAGCUCAGCUGGCUUCUCAAAAAGCCUAUUCUAAUGCUUGAUGAUAGGACGAGCUGGAAAUGUGCAUACUUUGAUUCCAGAGAAAUUUGUAUUCGUGUUAUGGUGUUAGUUUUUUAUGAUUCUAUUUAUUUUGUAUGAGAAUUCAAGUGAACGGCAUCAAGGAUUGUGAUUAUGUUGGAAGAUUUCAAGGAGAAUUAUAUUGUUGUUGUUGUUGUUUUGGUAUUUGUAUUCACGCUUUAAAUUUAUUCGUUUUUGCUGUUGCAAGCAUCCCUGUGUGCAGACUGCAGAUAUACUUGUUAGCCUAGUUUAACAAUGUAGAUACAGCUGCAAUCAAACAAAAAUGUUCAGAAAGCCCUUUACCAUAAUGACAUUACUGUAAGAUUAUGGUGAUAACCGUGAAAUACUGUAUUUUUGCACACGGACAAAGUACAUGCUAAGGCCUACUCUGGCAAGCACACAGGUCAGUGAUGCCAAAUUGUUUUGAUAAGGCCUUAACUGUUGCAGAGGGGUAGGCUACGAGAUGAGAUAACAGUAGGCCUAUGUUGAGCCUAAAGCCUGUGGUCUUUUUUUCUAAAGCCUUUUUUUACAUUUACAUUUUAAAGCUAUCAAUAGAACAUUUUUGCACAAACAACUUUUUAAAAAACUAAACGAUAGAGUAAAAUUUCGCCAGGAUCGUUCGCCUCUGUAAUUUGAGCACACCUCUACACAUGCCACUGGUCUCCCUUCUAGUAUAGCCCCCUGGAGUCUUAUAAUUAGACUAUUGUGUUCAUGUGACUGUAUGGUGAAACAUUGGUUGGUUGGCUCACAUGCGUGCAUGCAGGAUUCCCCCCUCUGGCCGUUUUAAGUAGUAUAAUAGCAAUGGCAAGGGACGUGCCUAGUUCAUAUAAAGGUGGUACCGCAACAAUGUUUUGUAUGCAAAUAAACGGGCUCAAAAGAA